rnacentral:rRNA from 1 species
UCAAGUAAUGAAGUGCACAUGGUGGAUGCCUUGGCAGUCAGAGGCGAUGAAAGACGUGAUAGCCUGCGAUAAGCGUCGGUGAGGUGGCAAUAUCCUGUGACCCGGCGAUUUCUGAAUGGGGAAACCCAGCCAACAUAAGUUGGCUAUCCUAACCUUUGGUUAGGAGGCAAACCGGGAGAAGUGAAACAUCUCAGUACCCCGAGGAAAAGACAUCAAUUGAGAUUCCCCAAGUAGCGGCGAGCGAACGGGGAGGAGCCGAUCGAAUUUACAGUAGCAAAAUGGCGUGGGAAAGCCAACCAUAGUAGGUGAUAGUCCUGUAUGCGAAACUGUUUAUGAGACAUAUUAAGUAGGGCGAGACACGUGAAAUCUUGUCUGAAGAUGGGGGGACCAUCCUCCAAGGCUAAAUACUCCUGACUGACCGAUAGUGAACCAGUACCGUGAGGGAAAGGCGAAAAGAACCCCUGUUAGGGGAGUGAAAUAGAACCUGAAACCGUGUGCAUACAAGCAGUCGGAGCGGACUUGUUCCGUGACGGCGUACCUUUUGUAUAAUGGGUCAGCGACUUAUAUUCUGUAGCAAGGUUAACCGUUUAGGGGAGCCGUAGGGAAACCGAGUCUUAAUAGGGCGAUUAAGUUGCAGGGUAUAGACCCGAAACCGAGUGAUCUAUCCAUGAGCAGGUUGAAAGUGCCGUAACAGGCACCGGAGGACCGAACCCACUGUCGUUGAAAAGCCAGGGGAUGACUUGUGGAUAGGGGUGAAAGGCUAAUCAAACUCGGUGAUAGCUGGUUCUCCCCGAAAGCUAUUUAGGUAGCGCCUCGGACGAAUACCAUUGGGGGUAGAGCACUGUUUCGGCUAGGGGGUCAUCCCGACUUACCAAACCGAUGCAAACUCCGAAUACCGAUGAGUACUAUCCGGGAGACAGACGGCGGGUGCUAACGUCCGUCGUCAAGAGGGAAACAACCCAGACCGCCAGCUAAGGCCCCAAAUUCCUAGUUAAGUGGGAAACGAUGUGGGAAGGCACAGACAGCUAGGAGGUUGGCUUAGAAGCAGCCACCCUUUAAAGAAAGCGUAAUAGCUCACUAGUCGAGUCGGCCUGCGCGGAAGAUGUAACGGGGCUCAAACUAGGAGCCGAAGCUGCGGAUUUAAUUGUUUCAAUUAAGUGGUAGGGGAGCGUUGUGUAAGCCUGUGAAGGUGUAUCGUAAGGUAUGCUGGAGGUAUCACAAGAGCGAAUGCUGACGUGAGUAACGACAAAACGGGUGAAAAGCCCGUUCGCCGGAAGACCAAGGGUUCCAGUCCAACGUUAAUCGGGGCUGGGUGAGUCGACCCCUAAGGCGAGGCCGAAAGGCGUAGUCGAUGGGAAAUCGGUUAAUAUUCCGAUACUUGUUUAUGAUGCGAUGGAGGGACGGAGAAGGUUAUGUCAGCCUGGCGUUGGUUGUCCAGGUGGAAGGAUGUAGGUAGGUUUAGUAGGCAAAUCCGCUAGACUAUUACUGAGAUCUGAUAGCAAGCUGUACAUGUACAGCGAAGUGGCAAAUACCCUGCUUCCAGGAAAAGCUUCUAAGCGAUAGUCAUAAAGAAAUCGUACCCGAAACCGACACAGGUGGUCAGGUAGAGAAUACCAAGGCGCUUGAGAGAACUCUGCUGAAGGAACUAGGCAAAAUGGUACCGUAACUUCGGGAGAAGGUACGCUGCCGAUGGUGAUAAGACUUGCUCUUUGAGCUGUUGGCAGUCGCAGAUACCAGGCUGCUGCAACUGUUUAUUAAAAACACAGCACUCUGCAAACACGAAAGUGGACGUAUAGGGUGUGAUGCCUGCCCGGUGCUGGAAGGUUAAUUGAUGGGGUUAGCGUAAGCGAAGCUCUUGAUCGAAGCCCCAGUAAACGGCGGCCGUAACUAUAACGGUCCUAAGGUAGCGAAAUUCCUUGUCGGGUAAGUUCCGACCUGCACGAAUGGCAUAAUGAUGGCAGCGCUGUCUCCAGCAGAGACUCAGUGAAAUCGAAAUCGCAGUGAAGAUGCUGUGUACCCGCGGCUAGACGGAAAGACCCCGUGAACCUUUACUACAGCUUUACAUUGAACUUUGACCUAACUUGUGUAGGAUAGGUGGGAGGCUUUGAAGUGGUGACGCCAGUUGCCAUGGAGCCAACCUUGAAAUACCACCCUGGUUAUGUUGGGGUUCUAACUUAGAUAUAACAGUAUCAAGGACAAUGUAUGGUGGGUAGUUUGACUGGGGCGGUCUCCUCCUAAAGAGUAACGGAGGAGUACGAAGGUGCGCUCAGAACGGUCGGAAAUCGUUCAAAGAGUAUAAAGGCAAAAGCGCGCUUAACUGCGAGACCCACAAGUCGAGCAGGUACGAAAGUAGGUCUUAGUGAUCCGGUGGUUCUGUAUGGAAGGGCCAUCGCUCAACGGAUAAAAGGUACUCUGGGGAUAACAGGCUGAUACCGCCCAAGAGUUCAUAUCGACGGCGGUGUUUGGCACCUCGAUGUCGGCUCAUCUCAUCCUGGGGCUGAAGCAGGUCCCAAGGGUAUGGCUGUUCGCCAUUUAAAGAGGUACGCGAGCUGGGUUUAGAACGUCGUGAGACAGUUCGGUCCCUAUCUACCGUGGGCGUUGGAAAUUUGAGAGGAUCUGCUCCUAGUACGAGAGGACCAGAGUGGACGAACCUCUGGUGUUCCGGUUGUUUCGCCAGAAGCAUCGCCGGGUAGCUAUGUUCGGAUGGGAUAACCGCUGAAAGCAUCUAAGCGGGAAGCCCACCUCAAGAUAAGAUUUCCCUAAAGAGCCGUUGUAGACUACGACGUUGAUAGGUUGGGUGUGGAAGCACAGCGAUGUGUGUAGCUAACCAAUACUAAUUGCUCGUUUGGCUUGACCAU